GUAGCUCGCGGAGAUCAUCUCGCUCUUGAGCGGUUCGCCUCGGGGGCCCAGGAGAUGCACACCGGCCUCCUUCUCGCUCUCCUCGGUCUCAUGAGGAAACUGAGGCAAACAGGAUUAAGUGACUUGCCAGAGACACACUGCUAGUGUGCGCCGCGUCCCCACGAGGACCUCCUCGCCCUCUAGCAGCGCCACGUCCUUCUUGCUCGGGCAGAACAGGGCGACUCCGGCGCUGCUUCACCUCCUCGGGCUUCGAGGACUUGCGAACCUUCGUGUAGCUGAACACCUUGACCACCCCUCCGAGACAGCCGCCCCAGGGGCCAUGGUGCCGUAAAGGAGGGAGGACACGAGGAAGAGGAAGGAGUCGCUCCUCCGCCUCCUCCUCCUCCGCCGCCGCCGCCGCCCGGAGCCCACCGAAUGCGUGCUUUUUAACCGAAGCCGAUUCAUCCGGUAGGAACCCAGGGAGCCGCACUGAGAACCAGGUCGCCACGGGACUGAGCAGAACGCAGUGCCAGGCUGAGAUAUGAGGAAAAUGAAGAUUCUACUGAGUAUCACAAUGUUGGCCAUCUUAUACACCGACUUCGUCCCUGUGUUUAAUGGGAACGUAUCAUCUGCUUUGAAUAAUACCAACAUAAUCCGAUUGAGGGGGCUGGACACGGAGACUACAACAAGUUUAGUACGCCUCCAGUGUCACGUGUGCAUGGGAGACUUCCAGUGCCAAGCACCACAGACAUGUGCCCCUACCGAAAAAUUCUGCAUGAUCGCUCAGACCGAUAAAAACGAGUACAACGUAAUCAAGUACUGUGCAGAAACGUGCCCGUAUAUGGAGCGAUUCCAUGGAAGAAGUGAAGGUGACGGGUACCUUGCCUGCUGUGCCCAAGACUUAUGCAAUUAUAAAAGACUGGGGAGCGGGCACAGAGCGCUCUGUGCUAGUGUCCAAGCGGUGGCAAUGGCAUUCAUAGCGAGCUUCUUCGGGACUCUCAGGGUCAGACCAGGAGAUGCUGGGAUAGAACUGUGACCUCUGAGACCCUGCCCACGCCACGUCCCUCUCAGUAAGAAAUUCUCACCCAUGUCUUCUGGAAAAGAGCUACCCGGGGCCCUGGAAGCCUUUCCCAUAGCUCCUGAGAGCCAGCAUAGGAGCCCUUCCCUGGCUUAUGUUCUUUAUGUUUCUUUGAGAUGUUUGGAAAGUGUUAUAUAAAUGCUCACUGGUAUGAUUAAUAGUAACGAUAAUAAUAAGAAGAAUUUCCAUUGCA